GACGAACGCUGGCGGCGUGCUUAACACAUGCCAGUCGAACGGUGAAGCGCCUUCCUUUUUGGUGGGUGUGGAUGAGUGGCGAACGGGUGAGUAACACGUGAGUAACCUGCCCCCUUCUUCUGGAUAACCGCAUGAAAGUGUGGCUAAUACGGGAUAUUCUGGGUCUGUCGCAUGAUGGGUCUGGGAAAGAUAUUGUUUCGGUGGGGGGUGGGCUCGCGGCCUAUCAGCUUGUUGGUGGGGUGAUGGCCUACCAAGGCGGUGACGGGUAGCCGGCCUGAGAGGGUGGACGGUCACACUGGGACUGAGACACGGCCCAGACUCCUACGGGAGGCAGCAGUGGGGAAUAUUGCACAAUGGGCGCAAGCCUGAUGCAGCGACGCCGCGUGAGGGAUGGAGGCCUUCGGGUUGUGAACCUCUUUCGCCAGUGAAGCAGGCCUGCCUCGUUUGUGGGUGGGUUGACGGUAGCUGGAUAAGAAGCGCCGGCUAACUACGUG
rnacentral:rRNA from 1 species